rnacentral:lncRNA from 1 species
CAAAUUAAAAAUUUAUAAGUCCACUAAAAGAUUAAACAUGAAAAAAAAAAAGAACAAACCAACAUCAACAUAUGAAUGAGGGCAAUAGCAUAAUGUCAAGCUCGGAAAGAUGAAGUCUUCGACUUUGGAGUUCCUUCAUGGGGAGUUAUUGGUGUUGUAGAUUCACCAACACUAGUAUGAAGAAGUUGAUUUCGGAUUAGCACCGGAACUAGUAGCAGCAGAUUUUGAUUGCCUCUUCAUAAUG